rnacentral:lncRNA from 1 species
UUUUCAUCCACAUUUUCUCUCUCUCAAGCUUAUUCUGGGUCAUCUGUGUGUGUUCAUAUGUCCCUAAAGAGGUUUAAUCAGUGAAUAACAUGUUGUGUCCCUGAUGGCAUUAUUCUUCCUAUUUUUUGCUGUCAUAAUACACUGCUCCAUUGUCUUGACCAAUAUUCCAAUUAUCUACUCGGAUCUGCUGCAGUGGUGAAAGACAAAGACAAAACACGCUUUCAGCCUGUGCUCACUCAGUGGUGGAACAGUUGUUUGCAGGGGUGACAAGCAAAAACUGCAAGUCAUGUAGCUGGAGCAUGCUCAGAAGAUAGAAACUGUAUGAUGACCUCAAGCUGCCUACGAUCCAAAAAUUUCCCAACUACAGAACUCAUUGUCGAGAGAAAGUAGAAUGGGGAACCUAAUAAGAAGUGAGGGGUCUCUUGAUUUGUAGCACAUCAGACUUAAAUGACUGUUACUCUCCCCCCUUCCAAUCAGAUUCCUCCAAGUUAGCAUUUUUGUAUACUCACUCCGUCUCCCAACUCCUUAAAAGUCUGUCCCCACUUCAGACAGAUUUGAGCCUUGCCUCCUGUCUCCUUGCUGGUUGGCCAUGCAAUAAAGUUCUUUCUCCUCUCAAAAGCCAGUGCUAUAGUGUUGGCUUCUAUGCACAUCAGGCAGUGAGCCUUCUCUUUGUAACAAAUUUGGCAGACAUGAAGGGACCUCUGGUCUCUUGACUGCUUGCCAGAAGCUCAGUGGCCCCUUAAUGUGGCUCUGGCCUUCGUCAUCAACCGUGAGCAGCCACCUGGACUGUUUUAGUCUGGAGGUUUGACCUUUGGGAUCCUGAUUCCUCACCACAGCACCACCGACUCUUCAGCGCUACAUUCACUUUUAAGAAAAGAUUGCACUUCUAGAUCAAGACAUCUCUGGUGGUAACGAGAAAAAACUGCAAGUCAUGUAGCUGGAGCAUGCUCAGAAGAUGGAAACCUUGUCUUCAGAUGACCUCAAGCUCCCUAGGAAACAAAAGUUCCCUAACUACAAAACUCAGUAUAAAGAGAAGGUAGAAUGAGGAACCAAAUAAGAAGCAAGGGGUCCCUUCAUCAGUAGCAUAUGGGACUUAUAAGACUGUUACACUCCCACUCUCCAAUCAGGUUCCACCAAAUUAGCAUUUUUUUUAUAACCACUUCCACUCCCAACUCCUUAAAAGUCUGUCCCCACUUCAGCAUGGGGAGACAGAUUUGAACCUUGUCUUCUGUCUCCUUGCUGGUCAGCCGUGCAAUAAAGCUCUUGCUUCUCUCAAAA